GAAGGUAUAGCUCAGUGGUAGAGUACUUGCUCACACGUGCAAGGUCCUGGUUUCAAUCUCCAGUACUCACU
rnacentral:tRNA from 1 species